GGCACUCGGCUCCGGGUUACAGCCGACACCAUGGGUUUCGCAGACCUGAAAACCCCUGCCGGCCUCCAGGUGCUCAACGAUUACCUGGCGGACAAGAGCUACAUUGAGGGGUAUGUGCCAUCACAAGCAGAUGUGGCAGUAUUUGAAGCAGUCUCUGGGCCACCACCCUCUGACCUGUGUCAUGCCCUGCGUUGGUAUAAUCACAUCAAGUCUUACGAAAAAGAAAAGGCCAGCCUGCCGGGAGUGAAGAAAUCUUUGGGCAAGUAUGGCCCUACCAGUGUGGACGACACCACAGGAAGUGGAGCUGCAGAUGCUAAAGAUGAUGAUGACAUUGAUCUCUUUGGAUCUGAUGAGGAGGAGGAAAACAAAGAAGCAAAGAGGCUACGAGAAGAAUGCCUUGCACAGUAUGAAUUAAAGAAAGCUAAAAAGCCUGCAGUUGUUGCAAACUCUUCCAUCUUACUAGACGUGAAGCCUUGGGACGAUGAGACAGACAUGACAAAACUAGAGGAGUGUGUCCGAAGCAUUCAAGCAGAUGGCUUGGUGUGGGGCUCCUCUAAAUUGGUUCCAGUGGGAUACGGAAUUAAAAAGCUUCAAAUACAGUGUGUGGUUGAAGAUGAUAAGGUUGGAACAGAUAUGCUGGAAGAGCAGAUUACCGCUUUUGAGGACCACGUACAGUCCAUGGAUGUGGCUGCUUUUAACAAAAUUUAAGACAUCCUCAAGUCAGUGCACUUGAAUAAAAGCUUGAAAGAU